rnacentral:rRNA from 1 species
AUGAACGCUGGCGGUCUGCUUAACACAUGCAAGUCGAACGGGAGUAGCAAUACUCCAGUGGCGGACGGGUGAGUAACGCGUGAGAAUCUGCCUUUUGGUCGGGGACAACCACUGAAACGGUGGCUAAUACCGGAUGUGCCUGCGGGUAAAAGAUUAAUUGCCAGAAGAGGAGCUCGCGUCUGAUUAGCUAGUUGGUAGGGUAAAAGCCUACCAAGGCAUCGAUCAGUAGCUGGUCUGAGAGGACGAUCAGCCACACUGGGACUGAGACACGGCCCAGACUCCUACGGGAGGCAGCAGUGGGGAAUUUUCCGCAAUGGGCGAAAGCCUGACGGAGCAAGACCGCGUGAGGGAAGAAGGCUCUUGGGUCGUAAACCUCUUUUGUUAGGGAAGAACACAAUGACGGUACCUAACGAAUCAGCCUCGGCUAACUCCGUGCCAGCAGCCGCGGUAAUACGGAGGAGGCAAGCGUUAUCCGGAAUUAUUGGGCGUAAAGCGUCCGCAGGUGGCGAUUCAAGUCUGCGGUCAAAGACUGGGGCUUAACCCUGGAAAGGCCGUGGAAACUGAAAAGCUAGAGUGCAGUAGGGGUAGAGGGAAUUCCCGGUGUAGCGGUGAAAUGCGUAAGGUAGAGCUCGGGAAGAACAUCGGUGGCGAAAGCGCUCUGCUGGACUGCAACUGACACUCAGGGACGAAAGCUAGAGGAGCGAAUGGGAUUAGAUACCCCAGUAGUCCUAGCCGUAAACGAUGGAUACUAGGUGUGGCUUGUAUCGACCCGAGCCGUGCCGUAGCUAACGCGUUAAGUAUCCCGCCUGGGGAGUACGCACGCAAGUGUGAAACUCAAAGGAAUUGACGGGGGCCCGCACAAGCGGUGGAGUAUGUGGUUUAAUUCGAUGCAACGCGAAGAACCUUACCAGGGCUUGACAUGUCGCGAAUCUUGGGGAAACCUAAGAGUGCCUUCGGGAGCGCGAACACAGGUGGUGCAUGGCUGUCGUCAGCUCGUGUCGGUGAGAUGUUGGGUUAAGUCCCGCAACGAGCGCAACCCUCGUCUUUAGUUGCCAGCAUUAAGUUGGGCACUCUAGAGAGACUGCCGGUGACAAACCGGAGGAAGGUGGGGAUGACGUCAAGUCAGCAUGCCCCUUACGUCCUGGGCUACACACGUACUACAAUGCGACGGACAAAGGGCAGCAAGCCAGCGAUGGCAAGCCAAUCCCAUAAACCGUGGUUUCAGUUCAGAUCGCAGGCUGCAACUCGCCUGCGUGAAGGAGGAAUCGCUAGUAAUUGCAGGUCAGCAUACUGCAGUGAGUUCGUUCCCGGGCCUUGUACACACCGCCCGUCACACCAUGGAGUUGGCACGCCCGAAGUCGUUACCCCAACCGCUUGCGGAGGGGGACGCCGAAGGCAGGGGCUGAUGACUGGGGUG